rnacentral:rRNA from 1 species
UACGUAGGUGGCAAGCGUUGUCCGGAUUUACUGGGCGUAAAGAGCGCGCAGGCGGUCGUUCAAGUCGCGUGUGAAAGCCCCCGGCUCAACUGGGGAGGGUCACGCGAUACUGAUCGACUCGAAGGCAGGAGAGGGUAGUGGAAUUCCCGGUGUAGUGGUGAAAUGCGUAGAGAUCGGGAGGAACAUCUGUGGCGAAGGCGACUGCCUGGACCAGCACUGACACUGAGGCACGAAAGCGUGGGGAGCAAACAGG